UGAGCAACCUGCCCUUGACCCUGGAAUAACAGCUGGAAACAGCUGCUAAUACCGGAUACGACCUCCGAUGGCAUCAUCUGGAGGUGGAAAGCUCCGAGGUCAAGGAUGGGCUCGCGGCCUAUCAGCUUGUUGGUGAGGUAACGGCUCACCAAGGCUUCGACGGGUAGCCGGCCUGAGAGGGCGACCGGCCACACUGGGACUGAGACACGGCCCAGACCUCCGUAGGGAGG
rnacentral:rRNA from 1 species